rnacentral:ncRNA from 1 species
GCGCAGCUCCCUGUCAAAAGGCAGCUUCUCGAAGGAAUUCGAGAGUGUAAAACGAGGUGAAUUCGGGGAAACCCUACAGGGGCAAUCCCGAGCCAAGUCCCGUCGACGACGGGAAAGGUGUAGAGACUAUCCCGCAAGGGAGUAGUUCCGCAAAGUGCGGCACGAAGCGCCUCGCAUCCGACAGUUAGGUAAACUGGGAUGAUGAUAUAGUCCACGCCCUUAGCAAUAAGGGA